rnacentral:rRNA from 1 species
GUGGGGAAUCUUCCGCAAUGGACGAAAGUCUGACGGAGCGACGCCGCGUGAGUGAAGAAGGCCUUCGGGUCGUAAAGCUCUGUCAUCAGGGACGAACGGCCGGUGGAGUGGAAAGCCACCGGAUUGACGGUACCUGAGAAGGAAGCCACGGCUAACUACGUGCCAGCAGCCGCGGUAAUACGUAGGUGGCAAGCGUUGUCCGGAAUUAUUGGGCGUAAAGCGCGCGCAGGUGGGAUCUUAAGUCCAUUUUUAAAGUUCGGAGCUCAACUCCGUGAUGGGAUGGAAACUGGGAUUCUUGAGUACCGGAGAGGAAAGCGGAAUUCCUAGUGUAGCGGUGAAAUGCGUAGAUAUUAGGAAGAACACCAGUGGCGAAGGCGACUUUCUGGACGAAAACUGACGCUGAGGCGCGAAAGCCAGGGGAGCGAACGGGAUUAGAAACCCCUGUAGUCC